UACGGAGGGUGCAAACGUUGCUCGGAAUUAUUGGGCGUAAAGCGCACGUAGGCGGUUUGUUAUGUCGGAUGUGAAAGCCCUCGGCUUAACCGAGGAAGUGCAUCCGAAACUGGCAAGCUUGAGUACAGAAGAGGGUCUCGGAAUUCCCGGUGUAGAGGUGAAAUUCGUAGAUAUCGGGAGGAACACCAGUGGCGAAGGCGGAGACCUGGGCUGAUACUGACGCUGAGGUACGAAGGUCAGGGGAGCAAACGGG
rnacentral:rRNA from 1 species